ACAAUAUUUGCUAAACGGGAAAAGAAGGAGGUUUAAAAAAUGGGAAGGAAAUUGGCAAAUGAAGCAUACAAAUAACUAAUGUGCGAACUCAGGUGCUGAGAAGAAGAUAAAUUAACUAGAAAGUAAACAGAAAUAUUAGUUUUGGUGACAAUAGAAGCGAAGAGACGAACGCGAUAUUACAUGAAGGCGGCUUUUGAAGAUGUGAAGGAUUUUUUUUAUAUAAAAAAAAGAAUCGCUGCAGUAUUUGAAGGCUGAAAAGGGAUUUACAAGGAUUGAUCAAAAGUAACUUAUUCAUCAUGGACAAGAUAUCAUCAACGUCCAGAGGAAGAAACAUUUGGUCUGUCAUACUUUUUUGGCUGGUGCUUCUUGAAGUGUUUUUGAUGACGGCCGCUGAUGAGAACGAGUUUCGUCUGAUCCGAGACGUGAUGUCCAGAUACGAUAAACGGAUCCGUCCUUCUGUGAACCACACUUUACCCACAACCAUCAACUUUAGUGUUGCUCUAGCCCAGAUCAUUGAUGUGGACGAAAAAAAUCAGAUAAUUACCACUAACUGUUGGCUGAAUCUGAAUUGGAUGGACAAUAUGCUGACUUGGAAUCCCCGGAAAUACGGUGGGAUCGAAGUAAUCCGGUUGCCGUAUAACCAAAUCUGGCUUCCGGACAUAUUAUUGUACGACAAUGCUGAUGUUGGAACAGCCCAAUCGUCUGUUAGCACCAAUGUCAUCGUGUCCGCCAACGGAAAUGUCACGUGGUUAUCGAUGUGGAUUUUCAAAAGUUCAUGUUCAAUGGAUGUGCGUUAUUUUCCUUUCGAUGUUCAGAAUUGUUCUAUGAACUUUGCGUCUUGGACGUUUGACGCUUAUCGAGUCGACAUAAGAAACUUUGCUAAGGACGGUGAUCUCUCAAACUACGUCAAUAGCUCCGAAUUCGAGAUCGUCGAGUUCAGUUUCGAACGUCACGUGGUAGUGUUCACGUGUUGCCCCGAACCUUACGUGUUCAUGACUUACACCCUAGUAUUUCAGCGCAAACCGCUGUUCUAUCUGUUUAACAUGGUCAUGCCGUGCAUUCUUAUUACAUUAGUAGCGUUGCUCGGGUUCUAUAUGCCCAAUGACUCUGGUGAGAAACUUUCUAUGGGGAUUACGACGCUUCUCUCCAUGACUGUUUUCCUGAUGAUUGUAGCCGAGAGGCUUCCUCCUGUUUCCGACAACGUACCCCUAAUAGGUUUGUAUUACGGAAUGUCCAUCGCCCUGAUUUCCCUAUCUACAGCUUUGAAUGUGUUUACCCUGAAUGUUCACCACAAAGGCUUACGUGGUCACAAAGUACCCUACUGCCUCAAACGGGUGUUCUUUGGGAUCAUCGCUAAAAUGUUGUUUUUAAAGAUCGAUCUUCCUGUAGCUCCGGAGGAAGGAAUGGUAUGUUAUUGUUAUCAUUAAAAAAAGAUUCUGUAAAAAAAGAAAGAAUUUGAAUUUUUCAGAAAUUCAAAAAAUUGCAAUAAGAAAACUGAGAUCUUCGUUCAAAAGAAAGAUUAUAAUUAACACGUUUACGAUAAUAGCAUAAUAGCAAAAUAUGAUUGAAAUUUUUAAAGUCAAACAGAGCGUUAAUAGAGAAAACUGCACUUACCUUUUAGGAACAGGUCCCUUCACCUCGUUACAUAGUGUACGACAGCGAACCGCCACCAGCAACUAACGGAAGCGGAAGUAUGCCAUCAAGACUCGGUCACAAGCCGGAUAUGGAGGACCCAAGUCAGAAGGAAUUCGUGAGAAUAUUGCACCGCGUUAACAAAACAAUUGAUAAAAACGACCAAAGAAUGGCGGAACAGGACAGGCGUGACGUCAUCAACUUAGAGUGGCAACAGCUAGCCCUCGUUAUAGACAGAUUGCUCUUGGUGUUAUUCGUUGUCGUUGUCAUCUGUUCUACGUUGUCUUUACUGGUUCCCGGAAGUGAAUAUUCACAUCCGGUUGCAGAGAAUGAAUGAAUACUUUCAAAAUACUUACAUACCAAAAUAUACCGGUUUAAACUAUUGUUUUAUUAUAUUGUGCACAAUGUGGAAACCACAAUGAAAGCACGCAUUACAAAAAGUCAAACCUAUCGUGUUAGUUUCGCAUUUCUCAGAAAGACCUUUUGCAAGGCAAACGAUAUUAUUAAAUCUGUUUUGCACUGUCAACAAUAUUUUAUCAUGAUACUUAAUGAAUAUACAUGUUUGAUCAUGGUAUAUCAUUAUACAUAUAUGUAUUUUAUGUGUUUAUCUAUAAAAUACUUAAUUAAAUGUUCAAUAGAAGUAUUUUAAUAAACAAUUUUCUCU
rnacentral:misc_RNA from 1 species